UAUUCCUCCAUCCUAUCAAACAAAAGGCUCGUCAGAUAAGAUGAGACGACGUUUUUUAAAGAGUUAAUGAUUACCUCUCUCUUUUGGGAAAAGAUGAUGUAAACACCUCACACCAUGUGACUCUUUAAUCGUGUAUAACGAGAGCGAGAGAGAGAGCGAGAGAAACACAGUCCAGAUCUGAUCAGAUCCGGACAGUAAAAAGAGGAUAAUUUUAUAUAAGAGCGGAUCAGAGGAGGGGACAUAUAAAGAAGAUAGAGCGAUUUGUAGAGAAGAUGUGCUGGCUCCCGAUAGACGAGCCUCUGCCUCUACCCGGCGACGUGAUGGUCUGUGCCCAAGGAACCUCCCCAUGCUCCGGGACCCAGUUACUCGCCUCUCGCCUCAGGUGGAUCGGGGAUGAGAUGGAUAAAAACUGGACGGUUGGAUCUCGAGAUAACAGAUAUAAUGAGAAACUUGGGUUAAAUAGAGAAGCCCGCUUUAGAGGCUUUGUAUGCACAGCAAUACAAAUCACCGUCCUCAUAAUCUUUCUUAGAAAGCGACACCUGUAGAUGUAAGUCACUGCAACGGCAAAACCAGCAACAGAUGGUGCCUUCAGGAUCCUGAGGAGAGAGAGCUGUCAGAAUAUUUGCACUGAGAAAAAGGAUGACAGCCAGCCGAGGUUCAGUGUGCACCGAGGUCAUAAUAACCAUGCCCCAAAAUCGGCAAGACAGUUAGGAACAGGGUACAUUUUUUGUACUUUGUUGGCUAAGGAAAAUGUUGUGCUUCGGAAUUCAUGUGACAUAACAUUAUGUCACAGAGAUUAAGUAACAUUUUCAGUUCUUGUUUUAUGGGUAUAGGAUGUAGUACUGUGUGAAUACAUUUUUAAUUGCGUUAUUUCCCAGUUUAUUUUAUUGUUUAACUCACUGCUUGGAAUUCAGUAGGAUUUAACAGACAUAAAUUGUGUUAGUAUAAUCACUCUCUGGCGGUUUUUCCCCGAGAAUAAAACGGUGACGUCAUCCUCCCUUGACCGUUACCAAAGGAAAAACGUACUAGAAUUGCCCACACGACUGUCAUACGUGGACGACCUUACACUUGAAUUAUCGAUGCACUAAUACACGAUGUCAAUUACCUAACUGAAAAAGCUUAUUUGUAUUAAAAAAAUACAUGUUUCUACUUUUUAGAUGCCCGUCUCCUUUGAGCAAUCUGGAAAUGGUGCUCUGUGGAGAAAUAACACUACUUUUUACAUAAGGUUCUGUAAUAAUUAGAGACCAUGCAAAGUCUGGAUUCUAUCCUUACUAAAUAUGAAAGUCAAUUUGUAAAGGUUUUUUUCUGCAGUCAUUUUUAUUAGGUGAAUAAUGAUGUUAGUUGUAUCAAAUAUUCAUAACGAAAAAAUAAGUCAAAUCAACUGUUCUAUUUUUUGAACUUUUGAAAUUGGCUGGGGACUCAGCAUUGUUAAGGCAGAUAAUGUUUAUGAAACCAUGCAAGAAAUCUUGUGUGCAAAAAUAAGGGCAUGCUAUUCAUGUUUACAGUACAUAAGCUGUUUUUAUAUAUUGCAAAAAACUGUAGUUUUCAAUUGCAGUGCUGAAUCUGUGUCUUUUAUAAAGAAUGUGUUCUUUACAUGCUAUUUACAUUUGUAUUACAUUGUGAAUUCUGUGCUCACUCUGGAUAAUAAAAGUUUCAAAGUAAAAAUGCUUUCAUGCUAUCAUUGUUAUGAAAAAAGUAAUGACAACAUAAAACAUUCAACAAAUGCUGAACAAUACUGCUUCAACCAUGGUUCCAUUGAAAAAUCUGAUACAUACUGAAAACACACAACUUGUGUUCGAGUUUCUCAAAUGUUUUGGUAGGUCUGAUGUCAUCAAACAUAAGCUGUAUCUUUACUAGAAAUCAGGUGAAAUGUAUAACACGUAAAUUGUUGCAAGAAUGGUAACAUUAGUGAAAGAUCUACGAAAUACAUCAGCAAAUGAGCAAUUCAUGUGCUGACAUAAGCUACCCUGUACAAUAAUACUGACCAAUACCACACUGCUGUGCUGCACGGAGAUAAGUUCACAUUCUAUUUCUUUGCAAGGAUGGAUGAGACAACUGUAUAGACUGUAGAGUUUAGACUCCAACGGGCAACACAGUAAGGGCAUACUUAAAUGACUUAUUCCUCUGUAAUGUCCUCCAGUGGAAGCUAAUGGCUGUCAAUCCCAGCUAGUAGAUCUGGAAGUGGGCAGAGGUGGUGCCUAUGACCACAGAGUGGGCAUGUUUGCUCACGGUCUAACCACAAAUACAGACACUCCUCACAGAACACAUGCUAGGUGGGAGAGAGAAACACAUGGGCUUUACACUCACAUUCACUUUGGUUUACCAAAAGGAGUAUGCAUUGAAUAUUGGUCAGUUAUUCAAUACAGUAUUGAUCAGUAAGGCCACAGAAAGAAACAAAAGAGUCAUGGACAGUGACUUUAGCAUCAAGCUACACCACACUAAGGGUCAUAUAAAACCUUUUUUUAAAUUUAACUUUUAUUUAACUAGGCAAGUCCAUUAAGAACAAAUUCUUAUUUACAAUGACGGCCUACCCCGGCCAAACCCUCCCCUAACUCGGACAACGCUGGUCCAAUUGUGCGCCACCCUAUGGGACACCCAAUCAUGGCCGGUUGUGAUACAGCCCAUACUGUUACAGUCGGCUUGUGGUUACCAUGGUUAACACAGGCGAAUGGUGGUAUAGUAAAGUAUGUAGUAGCAGAGCUUAUGGUUUGAUGUAUGUACUCUCACAUGCCUGAGAAGAGCUAUGGGGUUUCUGAAGUCACCCUGACAAAUAGUACACACAUCUCCGGCCUCAUUGCACUGCUGGCUGCUGCUGGCCCUCACACCUUAACUCUAUGGGUGAUAGAGCAUCAGGUAGGUGGUCACAAGGAGACAAAGCUUGUGUUUACAUUCCCAUACCAUUAGGCAGGGAUUAUCAACUAGAUUAAGCCGCGGCCCAAACCUUUCUUGAGCAGAUGGUCGGGGCCCCCGGAACAUACAGCAAAUACAAAUAAUUUGAAGACUGCAAAUUGACCACAAGAAGCCCAAACAGAUAUAUUUGACUAAAACAAUAAUUUCAACCCUUGCUUACAUUUGUUUAUGAUCACGUGUCUCCCUAUUAUGGAAAUACUUGGGAACAGAGUUCCAAAAUUAAAAUAACUUGGAGCUGAUUUCCUGGUGUUUUUACAGUUUUUUUAUACCCCCCAAAAUGUAAUAAUAAUAAUUCUCAAUUUGUUUUGCUCUGAAAACUCAGGGGGCCAAAUAAAACACCCGCAGGCCACCAGUCGGGGAACCCUGCCAUACAGGGUCAACUCACUGUAUACAGUAUCUUUAUUCUGAUGUUGCAUUUUAAUACGGUACAUGUAGUAAGAUGAUUCAAUCAGAGUGCAAGAUCAGGCAAAACCCACUGACAGUUGAAGGUUUACAACUGUAGCUAGUAGUGUUAUAGGGCAGUGAUGUGGGCUGGUAUUUGGCCCUGAUACUUUUCUUUACAGAAAGUAAUCAUUUCUCACCUGAGAACUGCAGAGAAUUUCCAUAUAGCCCUGCGUAUGGCUGAUACUCGUCCACAGAGGUCAAGCGACUGAAAGAUAAACAUAUUACACAGUCAAGG
ensembl:lncRNA